rnacentral:rRNA from 1 species
CAAUAGCGUAUAUUAAAGUUGUUGCAGUUAAAAAGCUCGUAGUUGGAUUUCUGCCAGGGUGCCAAUGUCCGCCGAAGUGCGUGCGCAGCGGCGCCCUCGCAUCCUUCUGUUAACGCCUCUCGGCAUUUACUUGCCGGUGGUGGGCUCAGAUAAUUUACCUUGAGAAAAUUAGAGUGUUUCAGGCAGGCUAGGCCGGAAUACAUUAGCAUGGAAUAAUGGAAUAGGACUUUGGUUCAUUUGAUUGGUUAUUGAAUCAGAGUAAUGAUUAAUAGGGACAGUUGGGGGCAUUAGUAUUUAAUUGUCAGAGGUGAAAUUCUUGGAUUUAUUAAAGACUAACUUAUGCGAAAGCAUUUGCCAAGGAUGUUUUCAUUAAUCAAGAACGAAAGUUAGGGGAUCAAAGAUGAUCAGAUACCGU